rnacentral:piRNA from 1 species
GUUUGGUUUCUCUCUAAAAGCCCCCU